rnacentral:ncRNA from 1 species
AGCCUAUGGUUUAAUUUGACUCAAGAUGAAGAAACUUACUAAGUCUAGACAUAAUAAGAAUUGAUAGAUUGAGAGCUCUUUUAUCGAUUCUAUGGUAGUUUCUUAGUUGGUGAAGUGAUUUGUUUGGUAAUUUUAUUAACAAACGAGACCUCAACCUAGUAGCUAGCUGUGAUGCCCUUAGAUGUUUUGGGUUGCAUAUACACU